CAUUAUGUUGCCCAGGCUGAUUUGAAACUCCUGACCUCAAGCAAUCUGCCUGCCUUAGCCUCCCAAAGUACUGGGAUUACAGGCGGGAGCCACCGUGCCGGCCUGGUCUUGUGCAUUUUAUAGAUAAGGUAACUGACAAACCUACACAGCCACCUCUUCGUCCUACAGAACUGGAAUUUGAACCCAGAGUCGUCCUUCACUACCACCUCCGUUGUUUCUGGAAGCGCGCUCCAGGCAGGCUGGCCAGCAUUACAGGGCCUCCCUGGGGGCCCCUGUGGGAACGCUGCUCCACAGAGCCCUGCCUCUCAGGUCUUGGAGAUGUGGGCAGGAGAGAAGCAGCGUCCCUCAGAGCCAGGCCUGGCAAUGAUGCCAGUAGGGGCCGAGGCAAGCCCUCCACGUGCCCGCAGGUUUCUCAGCAGGGGAAGUCCACACCACGCCGCCUGGGAACCUGGGUGCCUAAACACAGCAGGAGCUGAGGCACAAAUUUAACCAGAUGCCAAGGUUGCGUGAGCCCCAGCUCGUGAGCCAGGCUCCAAGGACGUUUCCUUAGGUGGCUCUGGAAGGCCCAGCGCCAGCCCCCGUCCUCUGUUAAAGGGAACCAGCC